rnacentral:sRNA from 10 species
AAAUGAAUUAAGAGGCAACUCUUAACUGGCCAAUUAGGGAAAAAUCGAGAGAUUCAAGCCUAGGGGGCAGAAAGCUCCGCGAAGUAGCGCUAAAAUCACGGAGCGGGGGCAUGGCGGUAGCGCAUAAAACGACGUGCCAA